rnacentral:rRNA from 1 species
CCUACGGGAGGCAGCAGUGGGGAAUAUUGGGCAAUGGAGGCAACUCUGACCCAGCAACGCCGCGUGAAGGAAGAAGGCUUUCGGGUUGUAAACUUCUUUUGUCAGGGACGAAGCAAGUGACGGUACCUGACGAAUAAGCCACGGCUAACUACGUGCCAGCAGCCGCGGUAAUACGUAGGUGGCAAGCGUUAUCCGGAUUUAUUGGGUGUAAAGGGCGUGUAGGCGGGAAUGCAAGUCAGAUGUGAAAACUAUGGGCUCAACCCAUAGCCUGCAUUUGAAACUGUAUUUCUUGAGUGCUGGAGAGGCAAUCGGAAUUCCGUGUGUAGCGGUGAAAUGCGUAGAUAUACGGAGGAACACCAGUGGCGAAGGCGGAUUGCUGGACAGUAACUGACGCUGAGGCGCGAAAGCGUGGGGAGCAAACAGGAUUAGAUACCCUAGUAGUC